rnacentral:rRNA from 1 species
GACGAACGCUGGCGGCGUGCCUAAUACAUGCAAGUAGAACGCACAGUUUAUACCGUAGCUUGCUACACCAUAGACUGUGAGUUGCGAACGGGUGAGUAACGCGUAGGUAACCUGCCUGGUAGCGGGGGAUAACUAUUGGAAACGAUAGCUAAUACCGCAUAAUAUUAAUUAUUGCAUGAUAAUUAAUUGAAAGGUGCAAUUGCACCACUACCAGAUGGACCUGCGUUGUAUUAGCUAGUAGGUGAGGUAACGGCUCACCUAGGCGACGAUACAUAGCCGACCUGAGAGGGUGAUCGGCCACACUGAGACUGAGACACGGCCCAGACUCCUACAGGAGGCAGCAGUAGGGAAUCUUCGGCAAUGGACGAAAGUCUGACCGAGCAACGCCGCGUGAGUGAAGAAGAUUUUCGGAUCGUAAAGCUCUGUUGUAAGAGAAGAACGGGUGUGAGAGUGGAAAGUUCACACUGUGACGGUAUCUUACCAGAAAGGGACGGCUAACUACGUG